rnacentral:misc_RNA from 1 species
AAUAUGUCUGGUUUAAAUCCAACUCCGUUACCCAUAAUUUGAUGAGGACCUGGUUUACCACCGUUGAGCACAUUACUUUCAGCAGGCUCCACCCCAUAUAUCUUAACAUUAGGAUUUUGAGAUUUAAGGUACUGCCCAACGCCAGAGACUGUUCCUCCACUGCCUAUUCCCAUUACAAAGAUGUCAACAUGACCAAGUGUAUCCUCCCAAAUUUCAGGACCUGUCGUUUCAAAAUGGAUCUUAGAAUUUGCAGGAUUUGAAAAUUGUUGUAGCAUGAAAGCAUUUGGUGUGGAUUCCAAAAGAUCAU